CCUUAUAAACAAGGCCGCAAGGCCCGCUGGAAGCGCGGUUCCUCCCCGAGGUCCCGCGCCGACGGUAGACCCUUUGUGAAAACCCCCCGUUGCUUCGGCAGCACCUCCCCCGCCCGGCGGUGGAGGGUCAGCCUGCCGACGGCACCUUUCAGAAACCCAAGUCGCAAAGCAGUACUCCAGUCUGACGGCGCAGUCGAAUGACUUUA
rnacentral:misc_RNA from 1 species